GACGAACGCUGGCGGCGUGCUUAACACAUGCAAGUCGAACGGAAAGGCCCUGCUUUUGUGGGGUGCCCGAGUGGCGAACGGGUGAGUAACACGUGAGUAACCUGCCCUUGACUUUGGGAUAACUUCAGGAAACCGGGGCUAAUACCGGAUAGGAGCUCCUGCUGCAUGGUGGGGGUUGGAAAGUUUCGGCGGUUGGGGAUGGACUCGCGGCUUAUCAGCUUGUUGGUGGGGUAGUGGCUUACCAAGGCUUUGACGGGUAGCCGGCCUGAGAGGGUGACCGGGCACAUUGGGACUAAGGUACGGCCCAGAGUGGUACGGGAGGCAGCAGUGGGGAAUAUUGUACAAUGGGCGGAAGCCUGUUGCAGCGACGCCGCGUGCGGGAUGACGGCCUUGGGGGUGUAAACCGCUUUCGGCUGUGACGAAGCGUGAGUGACGGUAAUGGGUAAAGAAGCACCGGCUAACUACGUG
rnacentral:rRNA from 1 species